rnacentral:rRNA from 1 species
GGGAGGGGGAUAACCCCGGGAAACUGGGGCUAAACCCCCAUAGGGGAUGGGUGGUGGAAUUCCCCCAUCCCCGAAAGUGUGCCACUCCCGUAAGGGGUGGCACAGCCCGAGGAUGGGGCUGCGGCGGAUUAGGUAGUUGGCGGGGUAACGGCCCGCCAAGCCGAAGAUCCGUACGGGCCAUGAGAGUGGGAGCCCGGAGAUGGACCCUGAGACAAGGGUCCAGGCCCUACGGGGCGCACCAGGCGCGAAACCUCCGCAAUGCGGGAAACCGCGACGGGGUCAGCCGGAGUGCCCGCGCAUCGCGCGGGCUGUCGGGGUGCCUAAAAAGCACCCCACAGCAAGGGCCGGGCAAGGCCGGUGGCAGCCGCCGCGGUAAUACCGGCGGCCCGAGUGGCGGCCACUAUUAUUGGGCCUAAAGCGUCCGUAGCCGGGCUGGUAAGUCCCCCGGGAAAUCUGGCGGCUUAACCGUCAGAAUUCCGGGGGAUACUGCCAGCCUAGGGACCGGGAGAGGCCGGGGGAAUUCCCGGGGUAGGGGUGAAAUCCUAUAAUCCCGGGAGGACCACCUGUGGCGAAGGCGCCCGGCUGGAACGGGUCCGACGGUGAGGGACGAAGGCCAGGGGAGCGAACCGGAUUAGAUACCCGGGUAGUCCUGGCUGUAAACGAUGCGGGCUAGGUGUCGGGCCAGCUACGAGCUGGCCCGGUGCCGGAGGGAAGCCGUUAAGCCCGCCGCCUGGGGAGUACGGCCGCAAGGCUGAAACUUAAAGGAAUUGGCGGGGGAGCACGACAACGGGUGGAGCCUGCGGUUUAAUUGGAUUCAACGCCGGGAAGCUUACCGGGGGAGACAGCUCGAUGAAGGUCGGGCUAAG